rnacentral:rRNA from 1 species
AUUGAACGCUGGCGGAAUGCUUUACACAUGCAAGUCGAACGGCAGCACGGGGCAACCUGGUGGCGAGUGGCGAACGGGUGAGUAAUACAUCGGAACGUGCCCAAUCGUGGGGGAUAACGUAGCGAAAGUUACGCUAAUACCGCAUACGAUCUACGGAUGAAAGCGGGGGAUCGCAAGACCUCGCGCGAAUGGAGUGGCCGAUGUCAGAUUAGGUAGUUGGUGGGGUAAAGGCUCACCAAGCCAACGAUCUGUAGCUGGUCUUAGAGGACGACCAGCCACACUGGGACUGAGACACGGCCCAGACUCCUACGGGAGGCAGCAGUGGGGAAUUUUGGACAAUGGGCGCAAGCCUGAUCCAGCCAUUCCGCGUGCAGGAUGAAGGCCUUCGGGUUGUAAACUGCUUUUGUACGGAACGAAACGGCUCUCUCUAAUACAGGGGGCUAAUGACGGUACCGUAAGAAUAAGCACCGGCUAACUACGUGCCAGCCGCCGCAGUAACAC